AUGGCGUCCCGCAAGGAAGAUUCAGGCUCCGUCGCUGCCUCUUCCAGCUCCACCUCCGGCGCGGUGGGGAAAGGCAAAGGAAAAGGCGGCUCUGCAGAUUCGGCCGUGAAGCAAGUGCAGAUAGAUGGCCUGGUGGUAUUAAAAAUAAUCAAACAUUAUCAAGAAGAAGGACAAGGAACUGAGGUGGUUCAAGGAGUACUUCUGGGCCUGGCUGUCGAAGAUCGGCUUGAAAUCACCAACUGCUUCCCUUUCCCCCAGCACACAGAGGAGGAUGCGGAGUUUGAUGAAGUCCAGUAUCAGAUGGAAAUGAUGCGGAGCCUUCGCCACGUAAACAUCGACCAUCUCCAUGUGGGCUGGUACCAGUCUACAUACUACGGCUCCUUCGUCACCCGGGCACUUUUGGAUUCUCAGUUCAGUUACCAGCAUGCCAUAGAAGAAUCUGUUGUUCUCAUUUACGAUCCCAUAAAAACUGCACAAGGGUCUCUCUCGCUAAAGGCAUACAGACUGACUCCUAAACUGAUGGAAGUUUGUAAAGAGAAGGAUUUUUCCCCUGAAGCAUUGAAAAAGGCAAGUAUCACCUUUGAGCACAUGUUUGAAGAAGUGCCAAUUGUCAUUAAAAAUGCACAUCUGAUCAACGUGCUGAUGUGGGAGCUCGAGAAGAAGUCAGCUCUUCCAGCUGGUGGCUUGCAAGAAAGGGGGACUCGGGCCACAGAGCUGAAGGGAAAGCUGUGGACUGCAGAGGGUCUCGCAGAGAAGGCAGCAGAGAGCAGAGUGCCGAUCUCUGUGACCUGCAGGGAGAACCAGGCGCUCCGCUGGGGCCGGAGUCCUUGA